rnacentral:rRNA from 1 species
UACAGAGGUCUCAAGCGUUGUUCGGAUUCAUUGGGCGUAAAGGGUGCGUAGGUGGCGCGCUAAGUCAGGUGUGAAAUUUCGGAGCUUAACUCCGAAAACUGCAUUUGAUACUGGCGUGCUUGAGGACUGGAGAGGAGACUGGAAUUCAUGGUGUAGCAGUGAAAUGCGUAGAGAUCAUGAGGAAGACCAGUGGCGAAGGCGGGUCUCUGGACAGUUCCUGACGCUGAGGUACGAAGGCCAGGGGAGCAAACGGG